rnacentral:rRNA from 1 species
AUGAACGCUGGCGGCGUGCCUAAUACAUGCAAGUCGAGCGAACAGACGAGGAGCUUGCUCCUCUGACGUUAGCGGCGGACGGGUGAGUAACACGUGGAUAACCUACCUAUAAGACUGGGAUAACUUCGGGAAACCGGAGCUAAUACCGGAUAACAUGUUGAACCGCAUGGUUCAACAGUGAAAGACGGUCUUGCUGUCACUUAUAGAUGGAUCCGCGCCGCAUUAGCUAGUUGGUAAGGUAACGGCUUACCAAGGCA